rnacentral:lncRNA from 1 species
AACUUCCUUAUAUUUUCGAAAAAAAUAGUAGCUCUACUCAAGUUAAUAUAUAUAUAUAAUAUAGCUCUUAUAUUUUUAAAAGUACCAAGUUAGUGUUGCUUUUAUGUUUUCAGCCCUUGGAUAAAGGAUAGUUGCUAGUUUAAUUAACGAUGUAAAAGUAUCGAAAUCGGUUAAAUUUUUGAUAAAAAAAUUUAUUCACUAUCUAAAUAAAAAUCAAUAACUCCAAUCAAUUUACCGACCGUCCCUAGAGCAAGUGGCAAAGGGCUUGGUGGUUGGUACUCGAGACCCAAGUUCGAAUCCUAGUUGAUUCACAUUUUCAGCUAAGUUUAUUUCUAAAUAAAAUAAACGAAGCGGGUAGCGUGCUACCUAUCUCUCAAAAAAAAGAGAAAAAGAACAAGAAUACGAUCAAUUUUAGAGCGUCGUUCAAUUUUGACCGUUCAUUUUCUACCCGCUUGAUGGACUUUAUUAUGGUUUCAAAAAAUUACGAAAUUUAUUUUCUAAAAAUUUUA